ensembl:lncRNA
CAGACACAACGGGGCGGGCUGGUGACCAAUCCCAACCAGGGGGAGGGACUACUGACCAAUCAGACAGGCAAAUAGACCCUACUGACCAAUCAGAGAGGCAGGGAGAAAGCGCUGGCUGCAGGCUAACACGGACAGAUGCCCACAACACUUUAGACACACACACACUUGCAGACGCACACUCAGACAUACACAAUGCUUUAGACACACACACACUUGCAGACACACACUCACACAUACACAACACUUUAAACACACACACACUUGCAGACAUACACUCACACAUACACAACACUUUAGACACACACACACUGGCAGACACACACUCACACACACACAAUGCUUUAAACACACACUCAGACAUACACAAUGCUUUAGACACGCACAGAGACACACACACAUCCACAGUCACACACCCACUCAAAGAUUCAGAAACACACUCAAACACAAAGAUUCUCACACACACUCACACACUGACAGACUUGUGCCCGCUCAAAGACUCAAAUACAGUAUCAGACACACACACACACUGUGUGGCAGACACACACACACACUCUGUGGCAGACACACACACACACUCUGUGGCAGACACACACACACACUCUGUGGCAGACACACACACACCCGCUCUUCUGAACCUCAGCCUGUCCCUGACCUCACACAGCCAGAGGGGUCACGACCUGACCUGCCCUCCCUUGGCCUCACCCCGUUCUCUCCCCCCCGCCCUGUGAACGCUCUCCUCCUCCGUCCGCAGUGCUCACCAUCCCUCUCUCCCUCCCUCUGUCCGCAGCGAUCUCCAUCCCUCUCUCCCUCCCUCCGUCCGGGACGCUCUCCAUCCCUCUCUCCCUCCCUCCGUCCGCGACGCUGCUCGCCAUCCCUCUCUCCCUCGCUCUCCGUCACUUCCUCCCGGGCCCAGAGCCCUGUCCAUAUGCCUGCUGCUGAUUGGCCGACAGAGUCUCUGAGAGGUGGAGCCGACAGUCAGGUUCUAGAGCCAAGUAGAACAACCAGCACAGAGAAGAACCUACCUGGUAACUGGACAGAACAGAACCAGAUGACCGCUAGAGCCAAAAUGGAGGACAACCUAACUACAACCUGC